rnacentral:rRNA from 1 species
GGCAACGGGUCGAGUAACACGUGAAUAAUCUACCUCCGAGUGGGGAAUAACUGAGAGAAAUCUUAGCUAAUACCGCAUAACACUUACGAGUCAAAGCAGCAAUGCGCUUGGAGAGGAGUUCGCGGCAGAUUAGUUAGUUGGCGGGGUAAUGGCCCACCAAGACGAUGAUCUGUAUCCGGCCUGAGAGGGCGCACGGACACACUGGAACUGAAACACGGUCCAG